AUCAGAGGGCAAAACCGAACUAGUGACCGCCGCCUCGCGAAAUUCCCGGCCACCGUAGUGCGUCACUGGGUACCACCCCCGACGGACAAACCGGCCCCGCCUUCUCCCAAGGCGCAGGCGCAGUUGGCCCAAAGCCGCUGCAAUGGGGGCGGUGAAGGACGCCGCGCCGGUCGACUCAACAGGCGCGCGCUCCGCCGCCUGCUGAGUCAGUAACUGUCAUUUUAGCUGCGCCUGCGCGUAGCACUUAAAAGCGGCGUGGCCUGAGCUGAACCUUUUGGGUUGCAAGGACAUACAGAAUUAUUUGGACGCCGGUUCCACUGACGUGAGAGGCGGUUGCUCCCGUUCCGUUCGUUCUUUUAAAUGGAGAGGCUAUCAUGCGGACCAAGUGUGAUUACCGAGGAGUUCUGGAGUUAAAAAAAACAGUUGUGGGUCUCGCCAGACAAGGCUGUCCGACAUUAAGGCACCUGGGAACUGCUUUCAAGGACUGGUACCAAUGUUAGCAAACUCAUUCUUAGAGGAGACCUGUUCUGCUUCUUUGCUUCUCAUGAUUGCGGAAGGAGUUGUCUUUGGGCCUUUGGACUCCUCUGAUUGUUUUGGAGUGGCAGUAUGUGGUUGGAAAAUUAGACCGUUUCUCUGGAACUUGUUGAAGUGGGUUUUACAGUCACAAAUACAAAACUACAAGAACAAUAAUCUCAUCUGUGGUGCAAGUGCAGGUAAUUUUAUACCAGGAUAA
rnacentral:lncRNA from 1 species